GAUGAACGCUGGCGGCGUGCUUAACACAUGCAAGUCGAACGGAAAGGCUCCUGCUUGCCGGGGCACUCGAGUGGCGAACGGGUGAGUAACACGUGGGUGAUCUGCCCUGCACUUCGGGGUAAGCCUGGGAAACUGGGUCUAAUACCGGAUAGGACCAUCGUUUAGUGUCGGUGGUGGAAAGUUUUUUCGGUGUGGGAUGAGCUCGCGGCCUAUCAGCUUGUUGGUGGGGUAAUGGCCUACCAAGGCGUCGACGGGUAGCCGGCCUGAGAGGGUGUACGGCCACAUUGGGACUGAGAUACGGCCCAGACUCCUACGGGAGGCAGCAGUGGGGAAUAUUGCACAAUGGGCGCAAGCCUGAUGCAGCGACGCCGCGUGGGGGAUGACGGCCUUCGGGUUGUAAACUCCUCUCGCCAGGGACGAAGCGAAAGUGACGGUACCUGGAUAAGAAGCACCGGCUAACUACGUG
rnacentral:rRNA from 1 species